UGAGGAAUCUUGCGCAAUGGGCGAAAGCCUGACGCAGCGACGCCGCGUGGAGGAUGAAGGUCUUCGGAUUGUAAACUUCUGUUAAGUGGGAAAAAAUACGCGGUUUUAAUAGAAUCGUGGGAUGAUUGUACCAUUAGAGAAAGCACCGGCUAACUUCGUGCCAGCAGCCGCGGUAAUACGAAGGGUGCGAACGUUAUUCGGAUUGAUUGGGCGUAAAGGGUGCGUAGACGGUAGAUUAAGUCAACUGUUAAAUUCCUCGGCUUAACCGGGGGUCGGCGGUAGAUACUGGUUUACUAGAGGAUGGAAGAGAAGAGUGGAAUUAUCGGAGUAGCGGUUAAAUGCGUAGAUCUCGAUAGGAACACCGAUGGCGAAGGCAGCUCUUUGGUCCAUUCCUGACGUUAAUGCACGAAAGCGUGGGGAGCAAACAGG
rnacentral:rRNA from 1 species